GAUGAACGCUGGCGGCGUGCCUAAUACAUGCAAGUCGAGCGAACGGACGAGAAGCUUGCUUCUCUGAUGUUAGCGGCGGACGGGUGAGUAACACGUGGAUAACCUACCUAUAAGACUGGGAUAACUUCGGGAAACCGGAGCUAAUACCGGAUGAUAUUUUGAACCGCAUGGUUCAAAAGUGAAAGACGGUCUUGCUGUCACUUAUAGAUGGAUCCGCGCUGCUUUAGCUAGUUGGUAAGGUAACGGCUUACCAAGGCAACGAUGCAUAGCCGACCUGAGAGGGUGACCGGCCACACGGGAACGGAGACACGGUCCAGACUCCUACGGGAGGCAGCAGUAGGAAAUCUUCCGCAAUGGGCGAAAGCCUGACGGAGCAACGCCGCGUGAGUGAUGAAGGUCUUCGGAUCGUAAAACUCUGUUAUUAGGGAAGAACAUAUGUGUAAGUAACUGUGCACAUCUUGACGGUACCUAAUCAGAAAGCCACGGCUAACUACGU
rnacentral:rRNA from 1 species